rnacentral:rRNA from 1 species
UACGUAUGUCGCAAGCGUUAUCCGGAAUUAUUGGGCAUAAAGGGCAUCUAGGCGGAUAUACAAGUCAGGGGUGAAAACUUAGGGCUCAACUCAAAGCUUGCCUUUGAAACUGUAUAUCUAGAGUGCUGGAGAGGUGGACGGAACUGCACGAGUAGAGGUGAAAUUCGUAGAUAUGUGCAGGAAUGCCGAUGAUGAAGAUAGUUCACUGGACGGCAACUGACGCUGAAGUGCGAAAGCUAGGGGAGCAAACAGG